CCCGCUGAACUUAAGCAUAUCAAUAAGCGGAGGAAAAGAAACUAACAAGGAUUCCCCUAGUAACUGCGAGUGAAGCGGGAAAAGCUCAAAUUUAAAAUCUGGCGGCCUUUGGCCAUCCGAGUUGUAAUUUAGAGAAGCGUCUUCCGCGCUGGACCGUGCACAAGUCUCCUGGAAUGGAGCGUCAUAGAGGGUGAGAAUCCCGUCUUUGGCACGGAUGCCCGGUGCUUCUGUGAUGCGCUCUCGAAGAGUCGAGUUGUUUGGGAAUGCAGCUCAAAAUGGGUGGUGAACUCCAUCUAAAGCUAAAUAUUGGCGAGAGACCGAUAGCGAACAAGUACCGUGAGGGAAAGAUGAAAAGCACUUUGGAAAGAGAGUGAAACAGUACGUGAAAUUGUUGAAAGGGAAACGCUUGAAGUCAGUCGCGUCGAUCGAGACUCAGCCUUGCCUCGGCUUGGUGUACUUCUCGGCUCGACGGGUCAGCAUCAAUUUUGUCCCUCGGAUAAUGGCAGGGGAAAGGUGGCACCUUUACGGGUGUGUUAUAGUCUCUUGUCGCAUGCGAGGGGUGGGAUUGAGGAACUCAGCACGCACCUUGGUGUCGGGGCUUUUGCCCACGUCACGUGCUUAGGAUGCUGGCGUAAUGGCUUUAAACGACCCGUCUUGAAACACGG
rnacentral:rRNA from 1 species